rnacentral:rRNA from 1 species
CAGCUACCAUGCAGUCGAGCGAGACCUUCGGGUCUAGCGGCGGACGGGUUAGUAACGCGUGGGAACGUACCCUUUUCUACGGAAUAGCCUUUGGAAACGAAGAGUAAUACCGUAUACGCCCUUUGGGGGAAAGAUUUAUCGGAGAAGGAUCGGCCCGCGUUAGAUUAGAUAGUUGGUGGGGUAAUGGCCUACCAAGUCUACGAUCUAUAGCUGGUUUUAGAGGAUGAUCAGCAACACUGGGACUGAGACACGGCCCAGACUCCUACGGGAGGCAGCAGUGGGGAAUCUUAGACAAUGGGCGCAAGCCUGAUCUAGCCAUGCCGCGUGAGUGAAGAAGGCCUUAGGGUCGUAAAGCUCUUUCGCCAGGGAUGAUAAUGACAGUACCUGGUAAAGAAACCCCGGCUAACUCCGUGCCAGCCGCCCGGGGGU